CUGGUACCCUAACUCGUCUUCCAACCUCUAU
rnacentral:piRNA from 1 species